CAAAAGGCUUUUCUGUAAAAGCCACACCAGAAAAUCAAGAUGGAAAACG
rfam:Tupaia chinensis contig50333, whole genome shotgun sequence.